rnacentral:tRNA from 1 species
GCGCGAGUGGCGGAAUUGGUAGACGCGCUAGACUUAGGAUCUAGUACCGCAAGGUGUGGGGGUUCAAGUCCCUUCUCGCGCACCA